AGUGAACGCUGGCGGUAGGCCUAACACAUGCAAGUCGAACGGCAGCACAGUAAGAGCUUGCUCUUACGGGUGGCGAGUGGCGGACGGGUGAGGAAUACAUCGGAAUCUACUUUUUCGUGGGGGAUAACGUAGGGAAACUUACGCUAAUACCGCAUACGACCUACGGGUGAAAGCAGGGGAUCUUCGGACCUUGCGCGAUUGAAUGAGCUGAUGUCGGAUUAGCUAGUUGGCGGGGUAAAGGCCCACCAAGGCGACGAUACGUAGCUGGUCUGAGAGGAUGAUCAGCCACACUGGAACUGAGACACGGUCCAGACUCCUACGGGAGGCAGCAGUGGGGAAUAUUGGACAAAGGGCGCAAGCCUGAUCCAGCCAUACCGCGUGGGUGAAGAAGGCCUUCGGGUUGUAAAGCCCUUUUGUUGGGAAAGAAAAGCAGCAGGUUAAUACCCCGCUGUUCUGACGGUACCCAAAGAAUAAGCACCGGCUAACUUCGUG
rnacentral:rRNA from 1 species